UUAGAUUUAUGAUCACCUGUUGGCGUAACAAUGCUACUACAGCAUUUACAACCAGUGCCCCAUCAACCCCACAAUCUGAAACACAGAGCACAGACCUAGGAUUGAAGGACAGUACACCAACAAGUUCUGGGACAUCUAUAUGCGGAUCGAUGACACCAAAUAACGGAUUGCCAGUUACAGGUAUAGCUGUUGGAGUAUCAUUUGGUUUUCUUGUCUUAAUCUUCAUCAUUGUUAUUCUCAUAUGUAUAAUACGAAGAAAGGAUAAGCUACUUGAUGAAUACGUAUCUAGAUCUGACGUCAACCAUCCUAAUAACAUGUAUGACGGCAUGACACCAAGAGAAGAUAAUCAACAGUAUGAAAUGUCAUCUGCGCGAGAUUCUAACGCAACGACUGACGAUGUUCAGUCUACAUAUGACGUCAUGGUGAAUAGAUCUUCCGAGAACAAUUUUCAAACAUUGGCGCCACCUGUAAAUAACGGUGUAUACGCAAAUCAGUGACUUUAGUUGACAAUUAUAAAUGUUAAUCAAAUAAUUAUAAUUUAAGUUUGAACAGUUUUAAUGGCUCUGUUAUGUUCGGCCGGUUGUCAACACGGUUUCGCAUCAAUGACAAUAACGCUGCGAAUAAACCUGUUCUAAUCUUGUUACCGUAUGAUCUCCCCUUAUCAGCGGUGCAGGACGGGGGGCAUGACAAGGGCAGCUGUCUAGUCGUUACGAUAGGACGAAACACCAAGGUCCUUUGUACACAAUGACGUGCACGUAAAAGAUGAAUUGGCAGUUGGAAUUCGAUAUAAGAGUAGGGCGUUGUGCCACUGUCCGAGAAAAUUUCCCUCAUAGCACACUGUAUAGGGUAUGCCCGUCUUUAUUAGCAAAAUAGUAGGACCUUAAACCCCAUUUCAUUUCAAUUAUUUGUUCUAAUCUUGAAGGUUCGCGCAAAGGCAGGUUAAAACCUAUCCUCAUGUUUAACGUUAAAAAUAAAAUUUGACUAGUUGAUUGUUUUACUAAAAUGUCCGCCUGUCACAUUGCAACAGGGCCUCUUUGAAUUAAGUCACUAUUUUCGUAUAUUUGGCCCGAAGCAGACCACCUUCUCUUCCUCUAAGCGGAUUCCUGAAAGAUAGACACAAGAUUUCUUAUUUGUCCAGUGCUUAUGGUAUAUUGUCUGCCGAUUAACGAAUGAAGUAUAUUACCUUGUGGCUUGGUGGUCAGUUGCUAGUUAAGCCAGGAUAUGUGGCGCUUCCCGCCUUUAAAAGGCAGACACUGGCAUAGCGUUUUCAGAACAUCAUUCAACACGACUUUAAAGUGAAUAAAUUGUUUAAUCUAGCGCUGUAAUGAUUUAUUGGAUGCGAUAAAUCAUGUAAAUUG